GACGUUUAGCUGCAGAAGAAGCACCGGCUAACUCCGUGCCAGCAGCCGCGGUAAUACGGAGGGUGCGAGCGUUUAAUCGGAAUUUACUGGGCGUUAAAGCGCAUGCAGGUGGUUUGUUAAGUCAGAUGUGAAAGCCCGGGGCUCAACCUCGGAAUUGCAUUUGAAACUGGCAAACUAGAGUACUGUAGAGGGGGUAGAAUUUCAGGUGUAGCGGUGAAAUGCGUAGAGAUCUGAAGGAAUACCGGUGGCGAAGGCGGCCCCCUCGGACAGAUACUGACACUCAGAUGCGAAAGCGUGGGGAGCAAACAGGAUUAGAUACCCUGGUAG
rnacentral:rRNA from 1 species